UUGCUUCAAGCAGCAUAUAUACCAAAAAUCGAAAUGAUACAAAGAAGAUUAGCAUGGCCCCCCGCACGAGGAUGACAUGCAAAUUCGUGAAAUACAUUGAAUCUAC